UGUACAUCUUUUGUUUUCCUGUUGAGAAAACCAUUUAUAAAUCAUAAUAUGUGUCUUUUAACAUUUUGUUACAGAGUACAGACUUGUUUUCUCUCAUAGUAAAGGUAAAAAGACGUUAUAUGCGCGUGCGCACGCCGCCAUUUUUUUCUAAGUGUAAACUUGGCUCUUCCGCAAUGGGGAGGGCCGUGCGAACGGAGCGAGGGUCGAGGGAACCGACCUAACGGCAGAACUGGGGACGCAGAGAAAGAAAUAUUUUCCCCGUGUAUGCGCUUCACCCCGGCAGAAAGGGUGGAAAGGGAUAUAUUUCCACUCCAUGCCUGUCCCUAUGUUAGACAAAUCCAUUUCAGCGCGGCUACGUGAGCACCGAGUGAUGAGGGCUAAUAACAUCGGAGCUGUGAUUACGCCGCGCCGGUGUCAGUUCCAUGCAUCGAUGCGUUUGAACUCGCAGAUCUGCACACCAUAUUACCUAUGCCGUUACUCUAUGCCAGUGUCGCAUUAGAGCGCUUUUGAAAUUCGAACCCGGUUGAUAAAUACGUGGCAAAAAAAACCUUCCAUAAGUCAUUUUUCUAGCAAUUUAAGUGCCGACUUUAAAUAUAAAAUGGCAUAUAAAUAUAUAAUUCUAAUUCUCUUUUUA